ensembl:lncRNA LINC00923 long intergenic non-protein coding RNA 923
AAGGAAACAGGAUUUUAAUAGGAAUCACAUGCAGAUUGACUACAGGGAGCCAAGCGGUAGUGGAAGAAGCAAAGUUGGCGGUUUUGGAGACGGACGUCUAUCUAUCCACAGUGGGACAAAAAUGAAGGUUAUUGAAAAGAAUCAUGCUUGGUGGAAGAAGUAAUUACAUUUUUUUUUCAAAUCUCAGAGGAAUAAUGCUUUUAUAUUUCCUGCGAUGACCCAAUUUGCACUACGAUAUGCUCCCUUAAAUGUGAUUUAAACAGAAGAGAGGACCACCCCGCCAACCAAAUGUCCAGGUCCUAUUCCAUGGAACCUAUGAACAGGUUGUCCCACAUUGCAAAAGGGACUUCACAGAUGUCGGUUUCAAAAGGACUGGUUGAAAACUAAGAUCUUAAAUCAAUUCAUCGUGUUGGGAAUGGAGCAGGAUAGAGAUCGUUCCUGAAGACCCCAGUGCCUGAAGAAGAAACCUGGAAUGAUUCCUAAUGCUAAGAGGUUGCUCCAUAUAAACUGCCUCGGAAAGAUGAACCUGAGGGAAACCAGUAAUACUCCCGUCAUCCUGCAGAAGUAUUAAGGACUCUAGAGGUUAGAUAAUAUCUUCAAAUACAAGAGGCAACAUUUUCUUAAAUCCACAUGUGUACAUGGCCCCAUCUGCAACUGUACAAGAGGGUAACUGAUGAGAUUGUAAGAUCUCCUUUGAAGGGACAACUUUACUUGCAGGCAAACACUCUCUGUAUGAUGGCUUAUGAUACUCAGACACAGUCACUAAAUAUUUUGAUCAACAUGUGUGUACACAAAGAGCGGGGGACUCACUUCUGGCCUGCUGGAGAAAACUGGUUACUUUGUUCUUCUCUCAAAUUUAGCCCUCUAGUCACCCUCCCUGCUUGGUUGGUGUAUCUCAAUAAUCCACCAAAGUAGCAAAAUACGUUUAUGUAGGUAUAUUUGUGAUUUGCCUAAUGGCUUGUUUUAUUGGGUUUUCUAACUCCAAAUACUUUUACCAACAUUUUAUUUCACCUCCAAUUUUCCUCUACCCCCGUAAAUAGGCCAUAUUCUAAACUUUGUCUGGUACCAAAACAGAGAUAUAGAUCAAUGGAAGAGAACAGAGGCCUCAGAAAUAGCGCUGCGUAUCUAAAACUAUCUGAUCUUUUGACAAACCCGACAAAAACAAGCAAUGGGGAAAGGAUUCCCUAUUUAAUAAAUGGUGCUGGGAAAACUGGCUAGCCGUAUGUAGAAAGCUGAAACUGGAUCCCUUCCUUACGCCUUGUACAAAAAUUAAUUCAAGAUGGAUUAAAGACUUAAACGUUAGACCUAAAACCAUAAAAACCCUAGAAGAAAACCUAGGCACUACCAUUCAGGACAUAGGCAUGGGCAAGGACUUCAUGGCUAAAACACAGAAAGCAAUGGCAACAAAAGCCAAAAUUGACAAAUGGGAUCUAAUUAAACUAAAGAGUUUCUGCACAGCAAAAGAAACUACCAUCAGAGUCAACAGGCAACCUACAAAACGGGAGAAAAUUUUCGCAACCUACUCAUCUGACAAAGGGCUAAUAUCCAGAAUCUACAAUGAACUCAAACAAAUUUACAAGAAAAAAACAAACAACCCCAUCAAAAAGUGGGCGAAGGACGUGAACAGACACUUCCCAAAAGAGGACAUUUAUGCAGCCAAAAAACACAUGAAAAAAUGCUCAUCAUCACUGGCCAUCAGAGAAAUGCAAAUCAAAACCACAAUGAGAUAUCAUCUCAUACCAGUUAGAAUGGUAAUCAUUAAAAAGUCAGGAAACAACAGGUGCUGGAGAGGAUGUGGAGAAAUAGGAACACCUUUACACUGUUGGUGGGACUGUAAACUAGUUCAACCAUUGUGAAAGUUAGUGUGGCAAUUCCUCAGGGAUCUAGAACUAGAAAUACCAUUUGACCCAGCCAUCCCAUUACUGGGUAUAUACCCAAAGGACUAUAAAUCAUGCUGCUAGAAAGACACAUGCACACAUAUGUUUAUUGCGGCACUAUUCACAAUAGCAAAGACUUGGAAUCAACCCAAAUGUCCAACAAUGAUAGACUGGAUUAAGAAAAUGUGGCACGUAUACACCAUGGAAUACUAUGCAGCCAUAAAAAAUGAUGAGUUCAUGUCCUUUGUAGGGACAUGGAUGAAACUGGAAAUCAUCAUUCUCAGCAAACUAUCGCAAAGACAAAAAACCAAACACCGCAUGUUCUCACUCAUAGGUGGCAAUUGAACAAUGAGAACACAUGGACACAGGAAGGGGAACAUCACACUCUGGGGACU